rnacentral:sRNA from 1 species
CUUCUAUCAAUUCAAAUUUUAAAAUACGAAACAAGAAAACUCCAGCUCGUGACAUUUUGCAGAAUCGGUGAAUUACAAUCACAUGCAACAAAUAGAGAUACCCAUUAAUUGUUAAUUAACUGAGAUCACACUAGCUUGCAAGUUGCAACAACAGUUAAUUAAUCCCAAUUAAAAUAAUUAAUACAAGAUAAUUUUGGGGAGUGGGAGAGUAUUAAGGAAGAUAAUAAAUCUUCCAUUUCUGUUGAUGAAAAACAUACAGGUACCCAUCAAUUUCAACUUGAAGCAUGAGGUGGAGAUGGAGGUGGGCGAUCGGAGUUGGGACGCUGGCCGUGAAGGUCUUUGAUCAAGCUGCCGAGUUCUUUGCGAGCAGAUUCCCUUCCGAACAUGAAGCCGUACCAGCCGGAAACAGCAGAGAAGACGGUUGCGGUGACAAUUGUAUGAAGGAGUGUGAAG